rnacentral:rRNA from 1 species
UACGGGGGGGGCAAGCGUUGUUCGGAAUUACUGGGCGUAAAGGGCUCGUAGGCGGCCAACUAAGUCGAACGUGAAAUCCCCGGGCUCAACCCGGGAACUGCGUCCGAUACUGGAAGGCUUGAAUCCGGGAGAGGGAUGCGGAAUUCCAGGUGUAGCGGUGAAAUGCGUAGAUAUCUGGAGGAACACCGGUGGCGAAGGCGGCAUCCUGGACCGACACUGACGCUGAGGAGCGAAAGCCAGGGGAGCAAACGGG